UACGUAGGGUGCGAGCGUUAAUCGGAAUGACUGGGCGUAAAGGGUGUGUAGGCGGUCUGUUAAGUCGGGUGUGAAAGCCCCGGGCUCAACCUGGGAAUUGCAUUCGAGACUGAAUAGCUAGGGUACGGUAGAGGGAAGUGGAAUUUCCGGUGUAGCGGUGAAAUUCGUAGAUAUGGGGAGGAACACCGGUGGCGAAGGCGGCCAUCUGGACGGUAACUGACGCUGAGACGCGAAAGCGUGGGUAGCAAACAGG
rnacentral:rRNA from 1 species